GUAUGUAUAUGUGCUGCCAGGCACUCAAAGACACUGAACUCUCAGCUUGAGGCAGAACUGAGCACAUUUGUGUAGGGGAAUCCAUGCCUCAUGCCGCUCUCCAGUCUGCUCUGGGUGUUCCUGGCCUUCACCUUCUCUGGAUCUGCUGUGGCCCAGAAAGUUACUCAAUACCAGCCAGAUGUAUCCAGACAAGUGGGGCAGUCAGUCACCCUGAAUUGUCGGUAUGAAACAAGUUGGAGCUAUUACAACCUUUUUUGGUACAAACAACUUCCCAGUGGACAGAUGACUUACCUUCUUCAUCAGUAUUCAGAAAGCAGUAAUGCAAGGAACGGCCGCUACUCUGUAAACUUUAAGAAAGCAGACAAAUCCAUCAGCCUCACCAUUUCAGCCUUACAACUGGAAGACUCUGCAAAGUACUUCUGUGCUCUCCAUGAGCUCACAGCAGCAUCCUUGGUGCGGAGCACCUACGCACACGGGCACAGAGGACAUAAGGAUUCAAGACCAUUGUUCAAGGAGGACGAGGAGAAUACCAUCUGUGUCAUCAGUUACUAUAUCAAGAACAGAUGCACUAGAAAUGUCUGCCGAGAUGGAGACAGAUGCAGGAUGCCAAGGACCUUUUCAGGACGCUGA